ACCUUCUCCAUUUCGCAAUGUGUCUCCGAAGCUCGAGCACUCAACACCGUAACACAAGUGUGCAGUUUUAUCUCGAACAAGUCGUGUUACGUGCGUCGUAAGAACUGAUAACAUGUGUAGCCAGUUUGUCCCUGAGACACUUGCGAGAAAAAAACGCAACGAUAGAAGGAGCCAUUACUUACUCUAAAGUUGGCACGAUAUAGUUGCUUUUUAAACUUUCAACGUAGGGGCUCAAGUUUGCAGUUCCCUCCACAACGAAUACGACAUCGGCAACCCAGUUCCCUUGUUCGGCCACCACCAUGCCGCUGCUCAAAAUUACGCUACCACACGGUGUAAACAAGCACAGAAACAAAAUUUCGAACACAGGAAGUUGCAGAACGGUGGUUCUCCUGGCGGACGAAGAGUUCUCAUCGUAAACUUCCGGUGAACACAUGCUGAUUGCAAGGUAAACCUGCUAUAACUGCAGAUAUAGAACAGCGAAAAAUGAGGGACAUGUUCAUUCUUCAACCAUUUCCAUCUCAUGGUGCAACGUCUUGCUGCGUUAAUGUUGUCCUUUGUGCUGCGUUGUGUGUGUGUCUGCGUUUCAACUGAACUGCCUACGCACACUCAUCUUUUAAGGUUUUAACAAGUGGGGACUGUAGGCUUGUUAACAACACGUAAUUUGGUACAGUUCGAUAUUUUUCAGUCCCAAUCACAUUUUCUGAUAAUUUUUUGUCUUAAUUAUGCAUUGCAGUAUUUUGUGCAUGUUGAAGCAAAAGCCUCCAGUAUUUCCAACAGAAUCUAUCCUUCUACCGGGGACAGUCCACAUCAUGGGCAGUGUAUUUAAAGGGUCUCUGGAUUAUGGGGAGCGGAUACCCAACCUGGUCAGCGAUAUCGGACGACCCAGUGGAGCAGAAGGGCGUCGGACACCACGCACCGCUACAAGUGCUCCUACUGUAAAUACUCCACCCCUCACAAGACCAAUGUUAUAACAC